UUAUGUGAUGAUGAUUGGCUAAAUGUGUUCAACUGCUCUGAUAUCUGAUUGAAAUUGGCCUGUCUGAACAUCU